rnacentral:miRNA from 1 species
UUGCUGUGCGCGAUCCCGUCGGUC